rnacentral:lncRNA from 1 species
CAUUCUUUUAGGUAUGCAACUAAAUUGCAACUAAAUUAUUGAUUCUGCUGAAAGGUUAUGUGAGUUUAUGCACUAAAUGGUUUCAUCACUUAUCACCAGCCCUGCAGUGAGACACCAUGGGCAUAUAUCAGCUCUUAGGAAAUAUGUUCACACAUACACACUGCGGCAUGAGCUUUUUCUAAGUCAAAGCUGAGGCCUCACAAAGGAUGUUAACCUUCUAGGUGUUUUAAAUACAUCCAUCUGUGAGAAGACUUCAAAAUGGAUUUUGCAAAAGGUAAUUGGAAUUAACAGCUUUUUGUGAUUUGGAGCUUGGCAAAUCUCCAGUGUAAUAAAAUCUGGUAUAAGCACUGAACAAAUAAAGAGGGGGGCAACCUUCCUAGAGAAAUGAAAUGAAUGUUAAAGUAUAAUAACAAUUUAAAAAAAAUUAAAAACCUAUUCUUUUGGU